CACUCAGAAGUAAACGUUUUAAUGAAAUAUGACUCUGUGCAAGGACGAUUGGUACUUUUUGUGUAUGCUAUUUUCCCGCCAUUUUUAUAUCCUGUUAGUUUAAGCUGGCUGUGGGAUGUGAAUAGAGGAAUUUUCCUUGUUAAGCUGAUUUUGUAAUGUCGAAGGGGUCAUGUUAAUUUUGGUGUAAUUUUAAUUUUAUCUUUUGUGUUCGGACUAAGCAUGUGUUGGCUGAAAAAAUGUUUUCAGGUGUCUCGUUUGGUCAAGAUUGGGGGUGCAAACCUUGAGGACUGUGAAAAAUGUGAUGAAAAGAGUUCUUACAAACAGGUUGAUGGCCAUGAUGAACAUGGAUGGGACAGGGCCAAAGAAAGCCUUUGGCAAAACACAGCUCUGCCAAGUUAAAAUAGGUGCUGUACAGCAGUCAGACCCAGCAUCAUCAGAGGCUGAUAUAAAAAAAAACCAUCAAGAACUAUCUCCGAUCUGCUCCUGACAGAUAUGGGGGUAUGGGAUGCCAAAAGGGCCGAACAGCAAUUUAUUUGAUUUCAGAUUCAGAAUCUUAAUUUAUCCAUAAUUAUCUAUCAUUCAUAUGUCCAAAGUAUGUAGUAGUAU